rnacentral:rRNA from 1 species
UGUAGCCUGAUAUUGAAUUUUGGUACAGCUUGUACAGGAUAGGUAGGAGCCUUGGAAACCGGAGCGCCAGCUUCGGUGGAGGCAUCGGUGGGAUACUACCCUGGCUGUAUUGACCUUCUAACCCGCUGCCCUUAUCGGGCAGGGAGACAGUGUCAGGUGGGCAGUUUGACUGGGGCGGUCGCCUCCUAAAAGGUAACGGAGGCGCCCAAAGGUUCCCUCAGAAUGGUUGGAAAUCAUUCGUAGAGUGUAAAGGCACAAGGGAGCUUGACUGCGAGACCUACAAGUCGAGCAGGGACGAAAGUCGGGCUUAGUGAUCCGGUGGUUCCGCAUGGAAGGGCCAUCGCUCAACGGAUAAAAGCUACCCCGGGGAUAACAGGCUUAUCUCCCCCAAGAGUCCACAUCGACGGGGAGGUUUGGCACCUCGAUGUCGGCUCAUCGCAUCCUGGGGCUGUAGUCGGUCCCAAGGGUUGGGCUGUUCGCCCAUUAAAGCGGUACGCGAGCUGGGUUUAGAACGUCGUGAGACAGUUCGGUCCCUAUCCGUCGCGGGCGCAGGAAAUUUGAGAGGAGCUGUCCUUAGUACGAGAGGACCGGGAUGGACGCACCGCUGGUGUACCAGUUGUUCUGCCAAGGGC